AGCGUUUUUAGUGCUCGGAGACGCAUUUCCACAGAGCACUGUGAUACGUGCCUGUGUAUUUGACCUCCUGCUUGCAACCAAUAAAUGGACUUUUUGCAACUUUGAUCAUUCAUCAAGACUCUGUUUUAUCAGACAAAUCAUUCUCUUCUACCGAGCUUUUAUUGAAAUAUUCCACAACAAUUUGGCGUCACGAACAGGAUUCGCUGACCGUCCGUCGGGCUCCGGGGGACCGUCCGGGGAAAAAGGCCUUUUCCAGGAUCACCAGCUGAUGAUCCUGCCUCAUACCUCCUUAGACAAGAGAGAAAGGACCGGCGGAAACCAGAGGAGUCCUGAUCGACGUCACGUGAAUCCAGCGAAGAAGAAUUAAUUUCUACAAACUUGGGUAAGAAGUUGAAAUUCUAAUUAUAAAGUAACAGUAAGAGUUGAACAUAACGGAGACGGAUGACUGUGCAAGUGGUUGUUAUAGUCUGGGGAAUACAAUUUAUUUUUUAACAUUUUGGUUUUUUUUUAAAUUAUAAUAUAUUUUUUUAUUUUUUUUGGAGUACUGUACAUGAUUCCGGGAUAUUUCUAAUGCAUUAUUUUAUGCGAAGGUAGAUAGGAUCGUGUACGAUUUCACUCGGAACAAAUUCUCCGAGAUCGUAACGCAGAUCGCUUGACUACCCGGGUAAAAUAAGACCGCAGCACGGAGCAGGGGCAGGCGGUCCUCUCCUGAACACGUGUUAUCAAAUUCCUGCACCACCUCCAGUCCAACAAUCACCACCACCGUACAACCCCGAUCCUACGGUUGGCAGACCUGUAACACGCAGUCAAACCCGGCUGGGAGACCAGGGAGGUGCCGACGUCAAAUCGCGCUCACCCCUCAACCCAUUCGGACCUGACCCCACAGCUCAGUCCACCCCGGACUCUGCGUGGUCAAUCCACGACCCAUCCUCCUGGAGGGGCACAGCCGGCAGAAUUGUGGAUUUUCUUAGUCCCGACACCACCAUGGACAGUAAACCGGGUGGGCAUCGUGGUGUCGUGUUCCGACCCUGGACAGCGACUGAUAUUCAACAGGCAGCCUCUCACCUGCCCGACAUCAAAAACGGUGCAGCCUUUGGAAAAGAGUUCCUGGCCUUCUGUAAAGAAUUCAUGCCCACCGGACCCGAGAUCCAUCGUCUUCUGGUCAAACAUGUGGGCCUGAGUGAUUUCAGUAAAAUCAGAGCGGUGGUCACUGGUCAGGGCUGUGACUCCCGCCACGAGGCACCCGACUGGGAUCAUGCAGAUAACGUCGCCUACAGAGCAUUUGUCACCGCAGUGUGUGCAGCUGUUGUUACAGCUUUUCCGGCAACAGUAAACAUGGCCCCCAUCAACAGCACAAAACAAGGUAGGACCGAAGAUGUAACAUUUUACCAUCAGCGUCUUGUGGCUGCUUUUCAGAUUCACAGCGGCCUCGAGGAGCCCACAGACAUAACCAACAUGACCGUGUGGGAAACUCAUCUCAAGAACGCCUUCAUGAACGGGCUUCUGCCAGACGUCAAAACUGCCACUGAACACUCUGUCGUGGGUCUGGAAGAUGCAAGGCUCACAGAAGUGGUAAAACAUGCACGACACAAUUACAAAAUGCAUGUGGAAAAUCAAAUGCGUCAAGACAAACGCAGCAAGCAGACUGGGGAGAAAGCCCAGCUUGCGAUGCUCCAAGCUUUAAAACAGUUGACACUGGGUGCAGAAGGAGGACGAGACCCCCACCCAUCCGGAAAUUUUUAUGGGAGGGACCAACAGAGAGGACGAGCGUAUGGAAUAAAUCAUGGGAGAAGACGGCGUUUUCAAGGAGGGGCCCCACGAGAAGUGCAACCCGAUGAAUGCUUCCUCUGGCGAAACAGGACAUUGGUACCAAGACUGCCCCUCCCGUUCAAACCUGGUACGUCAGCCACGUGGUCGACAGCGCCACUCCGGGACUGACAGAGGGGGUCAACAAUUGGGCACUUCAGACUGACGGUGUGUGUGGGAUGGAGAUUGCACGUGUGAAGGGAUGACUACUGCUGCCUCUUCAAAACAGGGAAGUGAAACACACCACACACACACAAUGCUGCAACGAAGACCUGCUUCCUCGCACGCACACCCACAUACACACGCACACACACACACAAUGCUGCAAUGAAGACCUGCUUCCUCGCGCGCACACUACAGAACAACAUGCUGUUUUGCUCAGCAUCAUUUCUCACUUAGAGCAACAGCAACAGAAUACAUCCACACCACCACCACCACUCACGUAUGCUAUGUUUCCAUCAGAUGCAUACAAAGAUGCCAACUACACGAGUAAUUGUGGAAGGGAAAGAAUUGAUGUUUUUAGUAGACUCCGGAGCUCCUCAUUCAGUAAUUUAAGAAAAACAUUUUCCAAAUCAAAAAAUGAGUGGGCGGUAUGUAUAUUCUCAAGGGGCUUCAGGUUUGACUGUGACAGAAAAAUUUACUGCACCUAUGACGAGUGUACACUCUGACGAGACUGACCUAAACCCUGACAUGAAAGUAAAACAUUCUUUUUUACUCUCUUCACUCUGUCCCAUGAAUCUGAUGGGCAGAGACUUGAUGUGUACAUGUGGUAUUUGUUUGACGUCAUCUCCAGACGGCCUUAAAGUGGACUCCAAAUGUUGCAAGAGGCUCCUUCUAAUCCUCUUUUUGUGUAUCAGUGGUGGAUCCCGAUCGAUGAUGCUCGGAGGCUGAGCCAGGCUGGUGAAGCACGGGUUUCUCCUCAUGCAGACCGUAUGAACUCUGAACACCUGCAUUGCACAACAUGUGUCUCAGAGGGUCCAGACGACUCUUUUGAAGAGACAUUUUUUGAGGCCCUCAAUGAUGCAAUUGCCUGUUCUACUUUGUACUGGUCAACUUGUAAAUCGGCUGUGUCUAUUUCUCUGUCUCCCACGCAGAAAGAGCUGUUUCAAGUUCCCGGCUCCUAUCCCCAUGUCUCACUGUCUGAAGGACGCCUUGACCAAUGGAGGGAUUUGGAACCAUUUGAAGCUCUCACUGCCUGGGAGGAGACAAUCGAUCCGCUCGUUCUGCGCUCCGCCUCUAAAGGGUUUCACAGAACUCGCUGUGUGCUCCUCACACCAGCUUGUCGAUCUGUCUAUGUGUUUUAUGAGCACAACGACAAAGUUGAAACAUUUUUAACAACUCCCACGUCGAUUUCUCCCGCUCUUGCUUCUGUUCCACAGACACUCUGGGCGGCACACAAAUAUUACGUAGGCUUGAUCAACAACUGCCAACCGGUCGUCAUCACUCCACGUUCUGACUAUGUUGACGACUGUUUGAUUGCAGCUCCAAAUGAGGCACAGUGUCAGACAGACACGCUUAAACUACCUCAAACAUUUAGCGAAGGAAGGCCACAAGGCCAGCCUUUCUAAAUUACAAUUUGUGUAUCAAAAUGUGCGUUUCCUAGGUCAUGACAUAUCUGGAGAAGAAAAAACCCUCUCCCCAAAAAUAUGCUCAUACUGUCGAUCAUUUAUUCCAAACUACUCACAAAUGGAACAACCGUUAUCAAACUUAAUCCAUGGGAACAAUCAGCACACGAUGAAAUAAUCUGGACUGAAGAGGGUCUAGCGGCCUUCACACCAAUGAAAUGUGCUUUGCAAACUCUUGGACUGCCGAAUCCAAACAAGCCAUUUACUCAAACAGUAGAUGAAAGACACGGCUGCAUGACUUCUGUGCUGCUACAACCCCAUGGUGAUAAACUCCGCCCGGUGGCGUAUUUCUCCGCAAAACUCGACCCUGUCGCUGCAGGACUGCCACAUUGUUUGCGCGCUGUGGCCGUGGCUGAAAAAGCGCUCACAGCCUCACGUGACAUAGUUGGCUAUGCACCGUUGACUUUGCUCGUUCCGCAUUCAGUGUCCCUAAUUCUGGUAAUGCAUGGUAAUGUAUGUGGAUGGAUCCGCCUCCCGCGAUCCUCAGUCUGGUGAAAAUCGUGUUGGUUUUGCUGUUGUUUCUGACUCUGGUGUGCUGUGUUCAGGUCCUCUGCCAUGUCACCUCUCAGCCCAGGCAGCCGAGCUCAUCGCUCUGACCGAGGCCUGUAAACUGGCUACGGGUAAAACAGUCACAGUACCAGCAGUGGGCUCAGGCGACCCUACCCCCACAACAAGUGUCAAUCAACCGACACCACCGUUGCAGUGACCACGGACGGGCAGUUGACCGACAGACACACAGUGCAUUGUGAUCUGUGUUGACUGUCUACAACGCGGAUGCCUCACAAGAAAGAAGGUUGGCAGACUCCACAUCCCAACGUGUACCUGCGGACCAACACAAGAAGAACACGGCCAGGACCCCUUCACAUAGACACAGUAGUCGUUUGUGUCACUACGGUUUUAUUCAUAUUAUUGCUUGCUUCAGUUUCAUUAUCUAUCUAUAUUUCUGUGAUUCUGUAGUCCGCUACCUGAGUGUUUUUCUCUUAUCAUGGCGCGACAACGCCCAUGGAACUUUCUCACGAGGCCAGAGGGAACUCGUUCCCACAUUUUUAUUUUCUUAUGUUUCUGUGUUCAUUACUGGUGUUCUAUAUUUUAUGUUUUACACUUGCUUGCUAAACAACACGAGACAUGGUCUCACAAAAACAUAUUUUUUUGCAAUAUUAUGUGUGAUUAAAGAAUAAUCAAGAGUGGAAUGUGAUGGUAAAAUAUGUUAUAACAUUGUUUGGUGCUAAAGCCGUGUCUCAAGUGUCUGUAUUUGACCCUGAUGUGCAAAAAGCAGCAUGAUACAAAAUGUUGCUUUGCAGCUGUGCCCUGAGAAGGGAGGACGGUCGGCUCGAUCUCAUAGAAGCUUCAAAACAAAGGACUCCUCUUCAUGGCCUUGGUUCAUAUCUUAUUCGGUACGAUAGUUCCGGAUACACGUUUUACUUUAUGUCAAUUAAUAAUGAUUUGCACCGGCCACUGAGGAGGAUCUUGUGUGUGUGUGUGUGUGUGCUGCCCUCAGCUUCACCUGGGUUCUUAUCUCAACCUGCUUUGCAGAUUCUCGUAGCUGGCACGGAGAAUGUCCUUAGCAAUAAAUGGACUUUUUGCAACUUUGAUCAUUCAUCAAGACUCUGUUUUAUCAGACAAAUCAUUCUCUUCUACCGAGCUUUUAUUGAAAUAUUCCACAACAGUCCACAACUGCAUAAUAGUCCAGCUUGCAGUACUUGGUUGUCCAUCAGAUGUCCCUCCUAGGACAG
ensembl:lncRNA